ACUACGGGAGUCUGCAGUGAGGAAUAUUGGUCAAUGGGCGCGAGCCUGAACCAGCCAAGUAGCGUGAAGGAUGACUGCCCUACGGGUUGUAAACUUCUUUUAUAAAGGAAUAAAGUGAGGCACGUGUGCCUUUUUGUAUGUACUUUAUGAAUAAGGAUCGGCUAACUCCGUGCCAGCAGCCGCGGUAAUACGGAGGAUCCGAGUGUUAGCCGGCUUUAAUGGGUUUAAAGGGAGCGUAGUUGGGUUGUUAAGUCAGUUGUGAAAGUUUGCGGGCCAACCGUAAAAUUGCAAUUGAUAAUGGCAGUCUUGAGUACAGUUGAGGUAGGCGGAAUUCGUGGUGUAGCGGUGAAAUGCUUAGAUAUCACGCAGAACUCCGAUUGCGAAGGCAGCUUACUAAACUGCCACUGACAUUGAUGCUCGAAAGUGUGGGUAUCAAACAGGAUUAGAUACCCCGGUAGUC
rnacentral:rRNA from 1 species